rnacentral:rRNA from 1 species
AUGGGCCAGGUGGUUUCCGAUGCUGUUGUCCAAGAACAGGCAGCUGGCAAUGGCGGAAUCAUUAAGAAUGGGAGGGAAAUCCUAUUGCAGGCUUUUAACUGGGAGUCCCAUAAACACAAUUGGUGGAGUAAUUUAGAGGGCAGAGUUGCCGACAUUGCUAAAUCUGGGUUUACAUCAGUAUGGUUGCCUCCACCGACACAAUCGUUAUCUCCAGAAGGCUAUCUGCCACAGAACCUGUACAGCCUUGACUCUUGUUAUGGUUCUCUUCAGCAGCUAAAUUCGUUGAUUCAGAACAUGAAUGACCACAAUAUAAGGGCUAUGGCUGAUGUAGUUAUUAACCAUCGAGUUGGAACUACUAAAGGAUCAACUGGGAUGUAUAAUCGUUAUGAUGGUAUCCCAAUAUCAUGGGACGAACAUGCUGUUACAUCUUGUUCUGGUGGGAAGGGGAACAAAAGUACUGGUGAUAACUUUGAUGGGGUUCCCAACAUAGAUCAUACCCAGCCAUUUGUAAGGAAGGAUAUUAUUGAAUGGCUGAUCUGGCUUCGGGAAACCAUUGGUUUUCAAGAUUUCCGCUUUGAUUUCACAAAAGGUUAUGCUUCAAAGUUUGUGAAAGAAUACAUUGAGGAAUCAAAGCCUCUUUUUGCAGUGGGGGAAUACUGGGACAGCUGUGAAUAUGCCCCCUCUGACAACCGUCUGAGCUACAAUCAGGAUAAACAUAGGCAGAGAAUUAUCAAUUGGAUAGAUAGCACUGGAGGACUUUGCGCUGCGUUUGAUUUCACAACAAAGGGUAUUCUUCAGGAGGCUGUGAAAGGAGAGUUGUGGCGUUUGCGCGACCCUGAAGAAAAGCCGCCUGGUGUGAUGGGGUGGUGGCCUUCAAGAUCAGUUACAUUUAUUGAAAAUCAUGACACAGGGUCAACUCAGGGCCAUUGGCCAUUUCCAUCUGAUCAUGUCAUGGAGGGAUAUGCUUAUAUACUUACGCACCCUGGAAUCCCCACAGUGUUCUACGAUCAUUUCUUUGAUUGGGGAGAUUCUUUCCACGAUGAAAUAGCAAAACUGAUGGAGAUUAGGAAAUCCCAAGACAUACAUAGUCGUUCAGCUGUCAAAAUUUUGGAGGCAAGCUCAAAUCUGUACUCGGCAAUAAUCGAUGAUAAGUUGUGCAUGAAGAUCGGAGAGGGCCCCUGGUGCCCAAGCGACCCAGAGUGGAAGCUGGCGGCAUGUGGAGACAGAUAUGCCGUGUGGCACAAGUAG